rnacentral:rRNA from 1 species
AUUGAACGCUGGCGGAAUGCUUUACACAUGCAAGUCGAACGGCAGCACGGACUUCGGUCUGGUGGCGAGUGGCGAACGGGUGAGUAAUGUAUCGGAACGUGCCAGUCGUGGGGGAUAACGUAGUGAAAAUUACGCUAAUACCGCAUACGAUCUAUGGAUGAAAGCGGGGGAUCGCAAGACCUCGCGCGAUUGGAGCGGCCGAUAUCAGAUUAGGUAGUUGGUGGGGUAAAGGGCCACCAAGCCAACGAUCUGUAGCUGGCCUGAGAGGACGACCAGCCACACUGGAACUGAGACACGGUCCAGACUCCUACGGGAGGCAGCAGUGGGGAAUUUUGGACAAUGGGCGAAAGCCUGAUCCAGCCAUUCCGCGUGCAGGAUGAAGGCCCUCGGGUUGUAAACUGCUUUUGUACAGAACGAAAAGGUUUCUACUAAUACUAGGAGCUCAUGACGGUACUGUAAGAAUAAGCACCGGCUAACUACGUGCCAGCAGCCGCGGUAA